ensembl:lncRNA
GCGAGGCAGAGUGAAGUACAGUGAAGGGAGAGUGAGGCAGAGAGUAAUACAGCGAGGCAGAGUGAAGUACAGCGAGGCAGAGAGUAAUACAGCGAGGCAGAGUGAAGUACAGCGAGGCAGAGAGUAAUACAGCGAGGCAGAGAGUAAUACAGCGAGGCAGAGAGUAAUACAGCGAGGCAGAGAGUAAUACAGCGUAUAUUUUAAUAGCAGAUUUUAUAGUUCACUUUAGCCUAGUGCACACUACAUGAGUUCCCCCUCCAUAACAAAAUCGCUGAGCGUUACCAUGGCAACCGCUAGUGCUGUGUGACGGGUUCAGCAUCGCGAUGCGCAGUUUGUUGAAGACACCCGGAUGUUUUGUUUAAUGCACGUUCAACCUCCCCGUGACGAAUCGUGUAGCGCGGGCCCCUGUACCCCGAGCCGCGGGAACAGUGCAGCAGAUCCCUAACCCAGUGUGACGUGUACACAACAACGGCACUUCUAGAAGAACCCAGACCGCCGCUAUACCUCCAGUUCUCUUCGCAGAACAGACAAGUCUCCCGCACCCAUCCUUCCUGCACCCUCGUUUCUGGUGUUCGGCGUACUCCCCUUCACACCCGGACGGAGACCCACGCUUUCUGGAGGACCGGAGUUCAGCUGUGAAGCUCCAUUUCCUCCUGCUGCUUCACAAGGAAGGAGUUCUGCAUCAACGUCUGAGCCUGGCACAAAGGUUCAGCACGCCACACUGCUACAUGACAUCACUACACAAACCUCGUCGCGUACUCAAACCCCGGCGCAGGACAAGUCGUUCACAGCCCAGCCUGCGCGAUACGGAAACCGAACCAGCAAACUUUACACGACCUCGCCUCAUCGAGAACUCACAGCGACACGCUCACUUACGGACUCCAAAGUGCAGCAUCAGCAUAAUCCCCGUGACUGAGCACGCUGUAAAACUCUCCCAGUCGAGAUUUGUGGCUUCAUUUGCAUAUUCAAGUCUCCUCUGGCAUCCGUAUCGCAAUAACG